CUCCCCGAUGUAUCGGGGUCUGCUCUGCUCCAUGAUUUUAAAUAGCUGCAGUAUUUUGACUGUGCUAAGGUAGCAAAGUCAUUAGUUCCUUAAUUGGGAGCCGGAAUAAAUGAGUUGACGAUGCUCGGUUUUUCUAACUGAGGGGUAGAAAUUGAUAUUUGUGUUAAAAAGCACAACUUUUUGGGUAGACGAGAAGACCCCGUAAAGCUUUAUUUUAGGGGGGGAGUUUUAAUUCAGCAGGAUAGGGCAAGAACAUAGAAUUGAGCUGGGGCGGCAACUGAUACACCUUAAGUAGUGGGCACGUUUAUACGCGGCGAGGAAGAUCUUUAAUAAAGAUAGAAAAAGCUACUUUGGGGGUAACAGCACUAUUUUUUCCUAUAGUUCUCAUAG
rnacentral:rRNA from 1 species